GGCCGGGGCGCACCCUCUCAGGCCCUUGCUUCAGGGUCUUGGAGGGCGCAGGGCUGAGAGGCCUGGGGCUGGCGAACCUCAGGGGAAGCUUUAGUCCUGGAACUGGAGUCCUGGAACUGGAGGCCCCAGCGCCUGGUAAGAUCAGAGGGAAAAGCAUGAGGAAAACACCGUUCUUCAGACAGUGUCCGACACAAUCCUCAAAAGUAACAGCUUCCAGAGGUAUUUGAAUUAGCAAUUCCUGCUUGGGAUGAUGCCUGAGCUAUAUGUUUAAAAACCUGGGCCAUCAUUUCAUAGACUAUCUUUACCACCAUCAAAAGUAAACAUCUUGUAUCUAUCCUGCAUCAUCAAGGAGAAGCAGUUAUUAAGCCUGUAAUUGUGCAAUAUGUUGCUUACAGAACAAUAACCAGAUGUGACCUGUACCUACUGGGACCUUGCAGACUGCGAUAAAGCACAAGGAUACAGACGGAC
rnacentral:lncRNA from 1 species